rnacentral:rRNA from 1 species
CAAUAGCGUAUAUUAAAGUUGUUGCGGUUAAAAAGCUCGUAGUUGGAUUUCUGUCGAAGACGGUCGGUCCGCUCUAUGAGCGAGUAUCUGAUUCGGCUUUGGCAUCCUCGUGGGGAACGUAACUGUGCUUGAUUGCAUGGUGCGGAAUUCACGACUUUUACUUUGAGGAAAUUAGAGUGUUCACGGCAGGCAAGCGCCUUGAAUAUAUUAGCAUGGAAUAAUAAGAUAGGACCUCGGUUCUAUUUUUUCGGUUUCUAGAGCUGAGGUAAUGAUUAACAGGGAUAGUUGGGGGCAUUCGUAUUUAACUGUCAGAGGUGGAAUUCUUAGAUUGCGUUACGACGAACUACUGCGAAAGCAUUUGCCAAGGAUGUUUUCAUUGAUCAAGAACGAAAGUAUGGGAUCGAAGACGAUCAGAUACCAU